GGGGGCAUAGCUCAGUUGGUAGAGUUCCUGCUUUAGCAUGAACAAGGAUCUGGGUUCAAUCCCCAGCACCACCA
rnacentral:tRNA from 1 species